rnacentral:ribozyme from 1 species
UUUUUUUUUUUUUUUUUUUUUUUUUUUUUGUCAUCCUUCCUUCU